UGGGACAAAAUGGAUCCCAUUAUUAAUGGAAAUUCUGCUAAUGUUUAUCUAACCGAUAGUUAUUUAAAAGGUGUUAUUUCUUUCUCAGAAUGUAAUGCUUUAGGAAGUUACAUAUUCAAUGGUCCUUAUCUCAAAAAUGAUUACACCAACUUAAUUAGUAGACAAAAUC
rnacentral:misc_RNA from 1 species